CUCAUCACGGGAGCAGAGAAGACAUCCUGACGGCACGGUCACUGGCAGGGGAUGUUGGAGCCAAUAGUGAGACCGGCCCGUGCGGAC
rfam:Deinococcus deserti VCD115, complete genome.